UCAUAAUCGGACUUGGCACUGUUGUGCAUUGGUUCCUUUCAUGUUAUAACGGAGUACCCAUCUCCCACGGAGUUCCAGUUCAUCUACCCAAAGACUUGCUGUUUCGGUUCCACAUUGACCAUAGGUUUCUUGAACUGAGUUUUUCGUCGGCAUCAACAAAAAAGAGGAGUGGCUUAGGUCACAUGGGGGUUUAUGAUAUAGAGAGCAUUCUUAUUGGAUGUAUUAUGUGUUAACCCUUUGAU